GACGAACGCUGGCGGCGUGCCUAACACAUGCAAGUUGAGCGACGAACCAGGGCUUGCCCUGGGGCAAAGCAGCGAACGGGUGAGUAACACGUGGGUAACCUACCCCGAUAACCGGGACAACCCGAGGAAACUCGGGCUAAUACCGGAUGUGCUCACUGGACUUCGGUUCAGUGCGUAAAGGAAGCUUCGGCCUCCGUAUCGGGAGGGGCCCGCGGCCCAUUAGUUUGUUGGUGAGGUAACGGCCCACCAAGACCGCGAUGGGUAGCUGGUCUGAGAGGACGAUCAGCCACACUGGGACUGAGACACGGCCCAGACUCCUACGGGAGGCAGCAGUGGGGAAUCUUGCGCAAUGCGCGAAAGCGUGACGCAGCAACGCCGCGUGGGGGAAGAAGGCCUUCGGGUUGUAAACCCCUUUCAGGAGGGACGAAGGUUCGGCGGUGAAUAGCCGUCCGGACUGACGGUACCUCCACAAGAAGUCCCGGCUAACUACGUG
rnacentral:rRNA from 1 species